AGAGUUUGAUCAUGGCUCAGAACGAACGCUGGCGGCAGGCCUAACACAUGCAAGUCGAACGCUCCGCAAGGGGAGUGGCAGACGGGUGAGUAACACGUGGGAAUCUUCCUGUUGGUUCGGAAUAGCUCAGGGAAACUUGGGGUAAUACCGGAUAAGCCCGAGAGGGGAAAGAUUUAUCGCCGACAGAUGAGCCCGCGUCUGAUUAGCUAGUUGGUGAGGUAACGGCUCACCAAGGCGACGAUCAGUAGCUGGUCUGAGAGGAUGACCAGCCACACUGGGACUGAGACACGGCCCAGACUCCUACGGGAGGCAGCAGUGGGGAAUAUUGGACAAUGGGCGCAAGCCUGAUCCAGCAAUACCGCGUGUGUGAAGAAGGCCUGAGGGUUGUAAAGCACUUUCAAUGGGGAGGAAAAAAAUAAGGUUAAUACCCUUAUAAUUGACAUUACCCAUAGAAGAAGCACCGGCUAACUCCGUGCCAGCAGCCGCGGUAAUACGGAGGGUGCGAGCGUUAAUCGGAAUUACUGGGCGUAAAGCGUGCGUAGGCGGCGCGUUAAGCCAGAUGUGAAAGCCCCGGGCUCAACCUGGGAAUGGCAUUUGGGACUGGCGUGCUGGAGUUAGGUAGAGGGGAGCGGAAUUCCGGGUGUAGCGGUGAAAUGCGUAGAUAUCCGGAGGAACACCAGUGGCGAAGGCGGCUCCCUGGACCCAAACUGACGCUGAGGCACGAAAGCGUGGGUAGCAAACAGGAUUAGAUACUCUGGUAGUCCACGCCGUAAACGAUGCCGACUAGCCGUUGGGCCCUUUCGGGGGCUUCGUGGCGCAGCUAACGCGAUAAGUCGGCCGCCUGGGGAGUACGGCCGCAAGGUUAAAACUCAAAUGAAUUGACGGGGGCCCGCACAAGCGGUGGAGCAUGUGGUUUAAUUCGAUGCAACGCGAAGAACCUUACCUACCCUUGACAUCCUCGGAACUUGUCAGAGAUGACUUGGUGCCUUCGGGAACCGAGAGACAGGUGCUGCAUGGCUGUCGUCAGCUCGUGUUGUGAAAUGUUGGGUUAAGUCCCGUAACGAGCGCAACCCUCGCCCUUAGUUGCCAUCGGGUCAAGCCGGGAACUCUAGGGGGACUGCCGGUGAUAAACCGGAGGAAGGCGGGGACGACGUCAAGUCAUCAUGGCCCUUAUGGGUAGGGCUACACACGUGCUACAAUGGCCGGUACAGAGGGCUGCGUACUUGCAAAAGUAAGCCAAUCCCAGAAAGCCGGUCCUAGUCCGGAUUGGGGUCUGCAACUCGACCCCAUGAAGUCGGAAUCGCUAGUAAUCGCGAAUCAGAAUGUCGCGGUGAAUACGUUCCCGGGCCUUGUACACACCGCCCGUCACACCAUGGGAGUGGGUUGCAAAAGAAGUAGGUAGUCUAACCUUCGGGAGGGCGCUUACCACUUUGUGAUUCAUGACUGGGGUGAAGUCGUAUCAAGGUAACCGUA
rnacentral:rRNA from 1 species